rnacentral:rRNA from 1 species
UACGGAGGGUGCGAGCGUUGUCCGGAAUCACUGGGCGUAAAGGGCGCGUAGGUGGCGGAGCAAGUCAACGGUGAAAGCUCGACGCUCAACGUCGAGUCGGCCGUCGAGACUGCUUUGCUCGAGCACUGUAGAGGCAGAUGGAAUUCCGGGUGUAGCGGUGGAAUGCGUAGAGAUCCGGAAGAACACCGGUGGCGAAGGCGGUCUGCUGGGCAGUGCUGACACUGAGGAGCGAAAGCGUGGGGAGCGAACAGGACUUAGAAACCCGG